rnacentral:rRNA from 1 species
UGGGGAAUAUUGCGCAAUGGGCGAAAGCCUGACGCAGCGACGCCGCGUGGAGGAUGAAGGUCUUCGGAUUGUAAACUUCUGUUAAGUGAGAAGAAAGACCUAUUUCUAAUACAGAUAGGGAAUGACAGUAUCAUUAGAGAAAGCACCGGCUAACUUCGUGCCAGCAGCCGCGGUAAUACGAAGGGUGCUAGCGUUAUUCGGAUUUAUUGGGCGUAAAGGGUGUGUAGGCGGCAUAUCAAGUCUAUUGUUAAAGACCCCAGCCUAACUGGGGAAAUGCGGUGGAAACUGGUGUGCUUGAGGGUGGAAGAGAGAAGUGGAAUUCUCGGAGUAGCGGUAAAAUGCGUAGAUCUCGAGAGGAACACCAAUGGCGAAGGCAGCUUCUUGGUCCACAUCUGACGCUGAAACACGAAAGCGUGGGGAGCAAACAGGAUUAGAUACCCUGGUAGUCCACGCUGUAAACGAUGAUCACUGGACGUCAGUUUUGUUUACUA